CUGAGUAAAAGGGCCACGGUUGGCAGCAGGGUGGAGCAAAGCAAGUUUAAUGCCGUGUUUAGCCAUUGGUCUCUUUCUUAUGUCUGGUCUUCACAAGAUAAGGUCACGGGUUGUUUUAUACGAGUAUCUUUCAUUUAUUUGCACCGUAAACUCAGUCCUUUGUCUGGACAAUUGUUCCUUUAUGAUCUAGUCAGGUCAUUACAACAGUAAAAUGCUCUAAACACACUUUGCUGUCCUGUUUUCCAAUCGUCCACAUGGCUGGGAGAACCUAUUCAAGUAGCUACCUAACAGCCAGAGAGGAGGGUGAAAGGAUAGCAGCCCCAACUGUGGAUAGAGCAGAGAGCUGUGAAAUCCUGUCUACUCAAAGGGGUGCACGUUUUUGCACUGCACAGCUGACACAAAUGAUCAACUCAUCAAGCUUCAAGUGGUAAUUAUGUAUUAAUUUGUGAUGCUGUCCUUGAUAUAGGCGGCAGGAUAGCCUAGUGGUUAGAAGUUUUGGACUCGUAUCCGAAAGGUUGUAAGAUUGAAUCCCUGAACUGACAAGGUAAAAAUCUGUCGUUCUGCACCUGAACAAGGCAGUUAACCCACUGUUCCUAGGCCGUCAUUGAAAAUAAGAAUUUGUUCUUAACUAGUCAAAUAAAAAUAGGAUCCUGCUAUUUACACAUGCAUCUAUCAAUCCAAUGUUAUCAUGAUUUGUUAUAAGGGAUAUUAUACUUUAGUAAGCCACAAUGACCUGGUGAUAUAAUGUCAAUAUUAGACUUAAAUUCCAUAUUCCUACGGAUACCUUGUAACUGGAGAUUCCUUCAAACCGAUUGCCUACAGUUAACAUGUAGGGCACUGCAAGGUUGGGUGACCAGGGCCAUCUGGGACUGCCUCCUGGAGGAAUUCAGGUGUGUGAAGGCUACCUGUGUCCUGCAUAACGUCAUGAGGAUGGACACGAGGACCAGGAGGAGGGGGGGGGUAUGUGUGCUGGAUUUCUUCACCACAUACUUUUUUGAGGAGGGUGCUGUUCCCUGGCAACACUGUAGACUACACUAUGCACAACCAAAGGCUCUUUUAAGAACCAUUCACAUUGCAGUAAGAGUAUUCUUCCAUUUACUUCGCUAUGUCAACUGCAGUUAUAUCAGUUUGAUCUCCAUCUCUUCAUUCAAAGACUCAAUCAUGGACACUCUUACUGAGUUGUUGCUGCUUUAUGUGAUGUAUUGUUGUCUUUACCUCCUUGACCUUUUGUGCUGUUUGUGCCCAAUAAUGUUUGUACCCUGUGCUCUUGUCAUAUUGUUACUACCAUGUUGUCAUGUUGAGUUGCUACCAUGUUGUCAUGUUGAGUUGCUACCAUGUUGUCAUGUUGAGUUGCUGCCAUGUUGUCAUGUUGAGUUGCUGCCAUGUUGUCAUGUUGAGUUGCUGCCAUGUUGUCAUGUUGUUACUACCAUGUUGUCAUGUUGAGUUGCUAGCC
ensembl:lncRNA